rnacentral:rRNA from 1 species
CCUACGGGAGGCAGCAGUGGGGAAUAUUGCACAAUGGGGGAAACCCUGAUGCAGCAACGCCGCGUGAGCGAUGAAGGCCUUCGGGUCGUAAAGCUCUGUCCUAAGGGAAGAAUACUGACGGUACCUUAGGAGGAAGCCCCGGCUAACUACGUGCCAGCAGCCGCGGUAAUACGUAGGGGGCUAGCGUUAUCCGGAAUUACUGGGCGUAAAGGGUGCGUAGGCGGCCCUUCAAGUCAGAGGUGAAAGGCUACGGCUCAACCGUAGUAAGCCUUUGAAACUGUAGGGCUUGAGUGCAGGAGAGGCGAGUGGAAUUCCCAGUGUAGUGGUGAGCUGCGUCGAUAGUGGGUGGAACAUCAGUCGCGACCCACGCUGUCUGGACUGUAACUGCCGGUGGGGGACCAAAGUGUGGGGAGCGAACAGGAUUAGAUACCAUCGUAGCC